UAAACGAUACACCACGAAGAAUCUUAUUUACCUUAAGUAGUUUGUAUACCGUCAUUAUUAGAUAAUUUUGGGAAAAUUAAUUAUUGUAAUUAGUAUUUUUAUAAGUAUAUUAGAUCAAGGUGCAGCUUAUAGGUAAGAGAAAAUGGGUUACACUAAAUUAAUUGUAUGCCUAAUUUAAUAUGUUAGGUAGAAAUUGGCGCUAARAUAUGUACAUAUCGCCCGUCGUCGCGGGAAGA
rnacentral:rRNA from 1 species